rnacentral:rRNA from 1 species
UGGGGAAUCUUGCGCAAUGGGCGAAAGCCUGACGCAGCGACGCCGCGUGAGGGAGGAAGGCCUUCGGGUUGUAAACCUCUUUCAGGAGGGACGAAGCUACUCGGGUGAAUAGCCCAGAGGGUGACGGUACCUCCAGAAGAAGCCCCGGCUAACUACGUGCCAGCAGCCGCGGUAAUACGUAGGGGGCAAGCGUUGUCCGGAUUUACUGGGCGUAAAGCGCGUGUAGGCGGCCGCACAGGUCCGUUGUGAAAACUGGAGGCUUAACCUCCAGACGUCGACGGAAACCGUGUGACUAGAGUCCGGAAGAGGAGAGUGGAAUUCCUGGUGUAGCGGUGAAAUGCGCAGAUAUCAGGAAGAACACCAAUGGCGAAGGCAGCUCUCUGGGACGGUACUGACGCUGAGACGCGAAAGCGUGGGGAGCGAACAGGAUUAGAUACCCUGGUAGUCCACGCCGUAAACGAUGGGUGCGUAGGUGUGGGAGGUGUCGACUCCUUCCGUGCCGUAGCUAACGCUAA